CAACUUCAUACGCCGAAUUUCCGCAGGAAAACGGGGGAACCAUACAUUGGGGUGAAUUUUACCGCUUGUGCCUGAAUAGGGCAGGGUAAAUAGGGUGGCCUGUACAUCCGAAUCCGUCAGCUAACCUCGUAGGCGACAGCAGGAACCAUAA
rfam:Paenibacillus sp. HGF7 contig00029, whole genome shotgun sequence.